GUCUACAGCCAUACCACCCUGAAUGUGCCUGGUCUUAUCUGACUUCGGAAGCUAAGCAGGGUUGGGCCCUGUUUGUACUUGGAUGGGAGACCACCUGGGAAUACUGGGUGUUGUAGGCU
ensembl:rRNA 5S_rRNA 5S ribosomal RNA